AUCCAGAUAAUAAUCAUGUGUCUACUCUCAGUAUGGACAUUUCCAUUGUACACUCGGAAUAUGUAUAUACACGUAUGAAUAAAGAAUAGAUUGCAUUCUCCUCCAAGCAAGUUCAUAGUGUUGAAGUCAAAGCUUUACAAGUCCUGAAGGAAGCCCUGACCAGCCCAACUUAGAGGCUGAUAUGUGAUAGGGAAGAACUGACCAUCUCCACUUUGGUCUGGUGAUCGGGGAUUACCUCUGCUGUUGCCCCACCUUCUGAGGUUUUGGAGUGACCUUGGCUGGCAAUUGA